rnacentral:rRNA from 1 species
GACGAACGCUGGCGGCGUGCUUAACACAUGCAAGUCGAACGGAAAGGCCCUGCUUUUGUGGGGUGCUCGAGUGGCGAACGGGUGAGUAACACGUGAGUAACCUGCCCUUGACUUUGGGAUAACUUCAGGAAACUGGGGCUAAUACCGGAUAGGAGCUCCUGCUGCAUGGUGGGGGUUGGAAAGUUUCGGCGGUUGGGGAUGGACUCGCGGCUUAUCAGCUUGUUGGUGGGGUAGUGGCUUACCAAGGCUUUGACGGGUAGCCGGCCUGAGAGGGUGACCGGCCACAUUGGGACUGAGAUACGGCCCAGACUCCUACGGGAGGCAGCAGUGGGGAAUAUUGCACAAUGGGCGGAAGCCUGAUGCAGCAACGCCGCGUGCGGGAUGACGGCCUUCGUGUUGUAAACCGCCUUCGCCUGUGACGAAGCGUGAGUGACGGUAAUGGGUAAAGAAGCACCGGCUAACUACGUG